UUCCCUCGUUCCACUUGGAGCGCC
rnacentral:siRNA from 1 species